GAUGAACGCUAGCGGCAGGCUUAAUACAUGCAAGUCGAGGGGUAACAUGGUAGCAAUACGGAUGACGACCGGCAAACGGGUGCGGAACACGUACAGAACCUUCCUUUAAGCGGGGGAUAGCCCAUAGAAAUGUGGAUUAAUACCCCAUAGUAAUGUUUAAUGGCAUCAUUAGAUAUUUAAAGAUUUAUCACUUAAAGAUGGCUGUGCGGCUGAUUAGGUAGUUGGUGCGGGUAACGGCCCACCAAGCCAGCGAUCAGUAACUGGU
rnacentral:rRNA from 1 species